UAAAGAUUCAUCGCUGAUAGAUAGGCAUGCGUUCCAUUAGGCAGUUGGCGGGGUAACGGCCCACCAAACCGACGAUGGAUAGGGGUUCUGAGAGGAAGGUCCCCCACAUUGGUACCGAGACACGGACCAAACUCCUACGGGAGGCAGCAGUGAGGAAUAUUGGUCAAUGGGCGUAAGCCUGAACCAGCCAAGUCGCGUGAGGGAUGAAGGUUCUAUGGAUCGUAAACCUCUUUUAUAAGGGAAUAAAGUGUGGGACGUGUCCUGUUUUGUAUGUACCUUAUGAAUAAGGAUCGGCUAACUCCGUGCCAGCAGCCGCGGUAAUACGGAGGAUCCGAGCGUUAUCCGGAUUUAUUGGGUUUAAAGGGUGCGUAGGCGGCCUUUUAAGUCAGCGGUGAAAGUCUGUGGCUCAACCAUAGAAUUGCCGUUGAAACUGGGAGGCUUGAGUAUGUUUGAGGCAGGCGGAAUGCGUGGUGUAGCGGUGAAAUGCUUAGAUAUCACGCAGAACCCCGAUUGCGAAGGCAGCCUGCCAAGCCAUGACUGACGCUGAUGCACGAAAGCGUGGGGAUCAAACAGGAUUAGAUACCCUGGUAGUCCACGCAGUAAACGAUGAUCACUAGCUGUUUGCGAUACAGUGUAA
rnacentral:rRNA from 1 species